rnacentral:rRNA from 1 species
AUUGAACGCUGGCGGCAGGCCUAACACAUGCAAGUCGAACGAGUGGCGGACGGGUGAGUAAUGUCUGGGAAACUGCCUGAUGGAGGGGGAUAACUACUGGAAACGGUAGCUCAUACCGCAUACCAUCGGAUGUGCCCAGAUGGGAUUAGCUAUUAGGUGGGGUAAAGGCUCACCUAGGCGACGAUCCCUAGCUGGUCUGAGAGGAUGACCAGCAACACGGGAACUGAGACAAGGCCCAGACUACGACGGGAGGCAGCAGGGGGGAAGAUUGAACAAUGGGCGAAAGCCUGAUGCAGCCAUGCCGCGUGUAUGAAGAAGGCCUUCGGGUUGUAAAGUACUUUCAGCGGGGAGGCGUUACCCGAAGAAGAAGCAACGGCUAACUCCGUGCCAGCAGCCGCGGUAAUAC